CAGUAAAAUUUGAAUUUGUGAUAAACAAUGAGUAAUGUCUUUAGUCUAAGUAUAUCCCACACAGUAUUUGGGACAUACUUAUACUAAAAUAAUAUUUGUUUGUUUGAAAUUCAGAUGUAACU
rnacentral:miRNA from 1 species